AACGAACGCUGGCGGCAUGCCUAACACAUGCAAGUCGAACGAGACCUUCGGGUCUAGUGGCGCACGGGUGCGUAACACGUGGGAAUUUGCCUCGGGGUAUGGAAUAACUCAGGGAAACUUGAGCUAAUACCAUAUAAUGUCUUCGGACCAAAGAUUUAUCGCCCUGAGAUAAGUCCGCGUAGGAUUAGCUAGUUGGUGGGGUAAAGGCUCACCAAGGCGACGAUCCUUAGCUGGUCGUGAGAGGACGAUCAGCCACACUGGACGUGAGACACGGCCC
rnacentral:rRNA from 1 species